rnacentral:rRNA from 1 species
UACGUAGGGUGCGAGCGUUGUCCGGAAUUACUGGGCGUAAAGAGCUCGUAGGUGGUUUGUCGCGUCGUCUGUGAAAUUCCGGGGCUUAACCUCGGGCGUGCAGGCGAUACGGGCAAUACUUGAGUGCUGUAGGGGAGACUGGAAUUCCUGGUGUAGCGGUGAAAUGCGCAGAUAUCAGGAGGAACACCGAUGGCGAAGGCAGGUCUCUGGGCAGUAACUGACGCUGAGGAGCGAAAGCAUGGGUAGCGAACAGGAUUA